rnacentral:rRNA from 1 species
GACGAACGCUGGCGGCGUGCUUAACACAUGCAAGUCGAACGGAAAGGCCCUGCUUUUGUGGGGUGCUCGAGUGGCGAACGGGUGAGUAACACGUGAGUAACCUGCCCUUGACUUUGGGAUAACUUCAGGAAACUGGGGCUAAUACCGGAUAGGAGCUCCUGCUGCAUGGUGUGGGUUGGAAAGUUUCGGCGGUUGGGGAUGGACUCGCGGCUUAUCAGCUUGUUGGUGGGGUAGUGGCUUACCAAGGCUUUGACGGGUAGCCGGCCUGAGAGGGUGACCGGCCACAUUGGGACUGAGAUACGGCCCAGACUCCUACGGGAGGCAGCAGUGGGGAAUAUUGCACAAUGGGCGGAAGCCUGAUGCAGCAACGCCGCGUGCGGGAUGACGGCCUUCGGGUUGUAAACCGCCUUCGCCUGUGACGAAGCGUGAGUGACGGUAAUGGGUAAAGAAGCACCGGCUAACUACGUG